AGUCCAGGAGUGUGGUGCUCUACGGGCUUCUUGUGGGUGCGGGUGUGGCGCCGCGACUGAAACGAGGUGGCUGUGAUCUCGUGCUGCUGCGUCUUCUGUUGCUACGAGCUAGUACAUCUGUGGGACUUUGAGCGACGGAGGUUCAGCUUUCUUCUCCUCUUCCCAUCAGGUUACAUGGUGUGUAGCUGCUGAAAAAUGUGAAUGCUUGCUUGGGAAAUUGGGGAUCAACUGAUGUGUAGCUGCUGGACAAUGCUAAUAUGCUUAGCUUGUUGGAUUCGGAGACAGCGACGGUCGGUCCUGCGUUGCCCCUGUUGUUCGCUUGUUCGAUUCAAUCUACACAAACGCAGACUUUUCUAUACUGUAACUAUGCUUUUCUUUUACAUUAAGGACGGAGGAGACAUAUUUGUCUAGUUGGAUAUGAUCAUCGGAAAGUUGCACACA